GUAGAGACUCAGAGUCUCACCUCGACAGACUGGUUGUCUUGGUGUGCUAGAGUCUCUUAGAGUGAACACUGGUCCUAUUCACCGACUGGUUCCUCUGGGCCAGUCAGCCACAUGGACAGUUACAAUA